GAGGGACCGGGAAGGGCCGGUGAGAAGGGUGGAGAACCGGGCAGGAACCGGGGGCUUGCAGCCGCCCCGAGCAGGUAGAUGCGUCGGAGAUCGCGAGGCUUUUUGCGCAUUUGCUCUUUCCCACUCUACACCUAGGAAAGACUCCCCGGAAGCCGGCUUGUACCAUUGGGCCAUCUCACUCAGUAAUUUUCUGGGUACACGGACCUGUAAAGUAGGUUUGGCUCAAAGGACUGCAGUGUGAAGGUGGGACUAAUGUGGAGGACUCGGAUGAUGAUUCUGGAGAAGAUGGUCAUGAUUAGCAAGUAAAAAACACCACUACAGCAGAAAAGAGAAAGUUUCCUGAGUCAAAUUGACCUGAAGAGUCUACAAAACCUUUAUUAUGUAUGCUUCUAUCUUCUAGUCUACAUCAAGCUGAAUGAUGUUCACCAUAUCCUGAAUCAGUUUGCUGCUUGAUUAAACACUUGAAUUGUGCCUUUUUUCUUCUGUUUGCUCUUAAUGGGUGAAAUGGGAGCCCCCCCCUUAUUCUUGAGGCCUAAGUUGCUGUAAACUGCCCUGUGAUCUUCGGGUGAAGGGCAGUACAUUUAAUAAAUAAAAAUAAUAAAUUGAGGUCUGUGGCCAUUUCUACCUAGGACUUCUCCCUGGAGAUGGAUCCUGCAGGUACAUGAUUUCUGGGUUUACUUCUCAAGCUGUGGGUUAGGGUGGUGGUGGUUGGGGGGGGGGAGGGAUGUAUUGUUGGGAGAGAUGCAUAAACUGCUGUGUUAUGCAAGCUCAUAGUUGUUUUAAGCUUUAGAUAUAAUUUUGGCUAAUGUGAAUAUUUUGUCAAUGGGCUGGGUUCCAUAUCAAAACGAAGAAGUACAAAAAUUCCUACAUAAAAAAAUAAUCCUGAUAUCAUUUGCUUACAAGAAACCUACA